CCCUCCCGGUGUGACCGGUCCCUCCCGGUGUCCCGCAGGGCGAUCCCCACCUGCGCACGGCUCACGGGCUCCUCAGCUGCUACUGGGCCGGUACCGUUCACUGCGGGCUGGGCCUGGCGCUGGCCGGGGCCGCGGGGCGCAGGAAGCGCUGCCGGCCGCUGGGGCUCUUCUGGCUGGGCUCGCUGCUGAUGAGCGCCGUGGUUUUCCUGCUGGGCAGCCUGAUCGGGAAGUACAGCUCCGAGCUGAGCCCGGCCUUCCUCCUCAACCUGCCCUACCUCCUCCUCCUCGCCUGGACCGGCCUCCGGCUCUUCCAGCAGCCGCGGGCGCCGCCGAGCCUCAGCCCCGCCGAGGUGAGGCCGGAGCGGGGAUUUGGGGGGGCCGGGGGGAGCGUGCGGACCCCAAAAACCCCAAAGUGCCUCUCGCAGA
rnacentral:lncRNA from 1 species